UUGAACUCUCUAAGGCCAUAGUGCCUGAAGACGUGUUCAUUGAGUGCCUGCUUCACACUGAACCUCUUCCCGCACUCUUCACACUCAUGACUUUUUACACCAGUGUGUGUAAGAGUGUGUGUAUCAAGGUGACUCUUCAGGAUGAAUAGUUUCCCACAUUCCUUACAUUCAUAGUUCUUCACACCAGUGUGUGUAAGGGUGUGUGUAUCAAGGUGACUCUUCUGGAUGAAUUGUUUCCCACAUUCCUUACAUUCAUAGUUCUUCACACCAGUGUGUGUAACGGUGUGUCUAUCAAGGUUACCCUUCCGGAUGAAUUUUUUCCCACAUUCCUUACAUUCAUAGUUCUUCACACCAGUGUGUGUAAGGGUGUGUGUAUCAAGGUGACCCUUCAGGGUGAAUAGUUUCCCACAUUCCUUACAUUCAUAGUUCUUCACACCAGUGUGUGUAAGGGUGUGUCUAUCAAGGGUACUCUUCUGGAUGAAUAGUUUCCCACAUUCCUUACAUUCAUAGUUCUUCACACCAGUGUGUGUAAGGGUGUGAUAUCUGAGGCCUCCCCUUGUGGUGAAUUCUUUUCCACACUCCAGACACACAAACUUCCUCUCUCCUUUGUUGCUGGAGUUGCCAGCAGCAAGUUGCUUCAUCUGGUGACCACUGACCCUCCUGCCCCCUGCAGCAGUCUGCUCCUGCUUGUCCUGGCCACUCAUGCUGCUGUCCAGCCCUGCAGAUGAGGCGGCCCCAACCUUUGCGGCGGCUGAGUGUGUUGUUGUUGUCCUCGUUCUUUCCUUGUUCUCUUUUCCUCCACA